rnacentral:rRNA from 1 species
GAUGAACGCUGGCGGCGUGCCUAAUACAUGCAAGUCGAGCGAACGGACGAGAAGCUUGCUUCUCUGAUGUUAGCGGCGGACGGGUGAGUAACACGUGGAUAACCUACCUAUAAGACUGGGAUAACUUCGGGAAACCGGAGCUAAUACCGGAUAAUAUUUUGAACCGCAUGGUUCAAAAGUGAAAGACGGUCUUGCUGUCACUUAUAGAUGGAUCCGCGCUGCAUUAGCUAGUUGGUAAGGUAACGGCUUACCAAGGCAACGAUGCAUAGCCGACCUGAGAGGGUGAUCGGCCACACUGGAACUGAGACACGGUCCAGACUCCUACGGGAGGCAGCAGUAGGGAAUCUUCCGCAAUGGGCGAGAGCCUGACGGAGCAACGCCGCGUGAGUGAUGAAGGUCUUCGGAUCGUAAAACUCUGUUAUUAGGGAAGAACAUAUGUGUAAGUAACUGUGCACAUCUUGACGGUACCUAAUCAGAAAGCCACGGCUAACUACGUGCCAGCAGCCGCGGUAAUACGUAGGUGGCAAGCGUUAUCCGGAAUUAUUGGGCGUAAAGCGCGCGUAGGCGGUUUUUUAAGUCUGAUGUGAAAGCCCACGGCUCAACCGUGGAGGGCCAUUGGAAACUGGAAAACUUGAGUGCAGAAGAGGAAAGUGGAAUUCCAUGUGUAGCGGUGAAAUGCGCAGAGAUAUGGAGGAACACCAGUGGCGAAGGCGACUUUCUGGUCUGUAACUGACGCUGAUGUGCGAAAGCGUGGGGAUCAAACAGGAUUAGAUACCCUGGUAGUCCACGCCGUAAACGAUGAGUGCUAAGUGUUAGGGGGUUUCCGCCCCUUAGUGCUGCAGCUAACGCAUUAAGCACUCCGCCUGGGGAGUACGACCGCAAGGUUGAAACUCAAAGGAAUUGACGGGGACCCGCACAAGCGGUGGAGCAUGUGGUUUAAUUCGAAGCAACGCGAAGAACCUUACCAAAUCUUGACAUCCUUUGACAACUCUAGAGAUAGAGCUUUCCCCUUCGGGGGACAAAGUGACAGGUGGUGCAUGGUUGUCGUCAGCUCGUGUCGUGAGAUGUUGGGUUAAGUCCCGCAACGAGCGCAACCCUUAAGCUUAGUUGCCAUCAUUAAGUUGGGCACUCUAAGUUGACUGCCGGUGACAAACCGGAGGAAGGUGGGGAUGACGUCAAAUCAUCAUGCCCCUUAUGAUUUGGGCUACACACGUGCUACAAUGGACAAUACAAAGGGCAGCGAAACCGCGAGGUCAAGCAAAUCCCAUAAAGUUGUUCUCAGUUCGGAUUGUAGUCUGCAACUCGACUACAUGAAGCUGGAAUCGCUAGUAAUCGUAGAUCAGCAUGCUACGGUGAAUACGUUCCCGGGUCU